AUGGUUCUUCAGAAGCUUGCUUCUAUCGAACCGUUUUAGAAACAUCAGUGGCCAACAGAUCGCCAGAUCGUUGAGCUGCAUUGGCGGGAUUUCGCCGUCUUCGUUUCUCUUUCUUCGCGGACGAACACGCGCUGGGGCUGCAGGCUUGCAGGAUCCCUGGUCCUUAACAGGAUAUGCGUUAGGGGCUUGUAGCUCAGUUGGUUAGAGCGCGCGCUUGAUAAGCGUGAGGUCGGAAGUUCAAGUCUUCCCAGGCCCACCACUUUCAUCGAGUGAGCAUUCGUCUUCUGGUUACGGGGCCAUAGCUCAGCUGGGAGAGCGCGUGCUUUGCAAGCAUGAGGUCGUCGGUUCGAUCCCGUCUGGCUCCACCAGAUGGUUUGAUCAUCGACUGAUCGUGCACCUGGAUCGUCCGCGAAACAUCACUUCGCACCUACUAGUCUGGAUAGACAGUAACGUGCGUGUUUUCUGACAUCGUAAAGAGGAGAUCGAUCCGAGUUGGGUCGUGCAGCAAAUUGUUGCGCGAGCCUUCAUUAUCUCCGGAUCAUUUUCGGCGCUCGCGUCCGACCGCAAGGUUGGCUGCGAGUUGUAAAAUGAUCCUUUUAGCGAAGCUUGACCGCCUCGCUAUCGGAACGAUCUUACGAAGCAAGCUGGUCUUUCUAGUCAAUGUCCGGCUGCAGAUAGCGUUCAUCGAGGGCGCGUGCCGCAAGGUAAUUCUGCAGACAACAUUCUGCCGAGUGUGUGGACAUUGAUAAUGAGAGC
rnacentral:tRNA from 1 species